GGAGGAGUAUCGAAGUGGUCAUAACGAGCUGUACUCGAAAUACAGUUGUCCUCAAGGACACGUGGGUUCGAAUCCCACCUCUUCCG
rnacentral:tRNA from 1 species